UCUGUCCUAAAGGGGGUUCUGUCCUAAAACGGGUUCAGUCCUAAAACAGGGGGUUCUGUCCUAAAGGGGGUUCUGUCCUAAAACGGGGGUUCUGUCCUAAAGGGGGGUUCUGUCCUAAAACAGGGGGUUCUGUCCUAAAGGGGGUUCUGUCCUAAAAGGGGGUUCUGUCCUAAAAUGGGGGUUCUAUCCUAAAAGGCCUCCAAGUGGACAAAAAUCGGGAUUUUUUGGGGUUUUGGAAGGGUGUUGUUGGAAUACUGAGGGAGCUUGUUCCCAAUUUUCAGCGAAGUGAACUCACUUUGGGUUUCGAAAAGCUCCCAAGUGUGGGAGGUUGGGUUUUUUGGCAGGUUGGGUUUUUUUGGCAGGUUGAGGUUUUUUUGGCAGGUUGAGGUUUUUUUGGGAGGUUGAGGUUUUUUGAGAGAUCUUUUUUUGGGAUUUUUUUUUUUUUUUUUGGACUGGGAUGGAAAUGCAGAGAGGGGGAAAACAGGGAAGGGAGGAAAGAGGCAGAGCGGCUUUGUUUGGAUUCCAGAAUGCAAGGGAUGGGUUUGGAAUGAGGGGAGAG